AGUGAACGCUGGCGGCGUGCCUAAUACAUGCAAGUCGAGCGGAGCGGCGGACGGGCGAGUAAUGCCUAGGAAUCUGCCUGGUAGUGGGGGAUAACGUCCGGAAACGGGCGCUAAUACCGCAUACUAUCAGAUUAGCCUAGGUCGGAAUAGCUAGUUGGUGGGGUAAAGGCAUACCAAGACGACGACCAGGAACUGGCCUGAGAGGAUGAUCAGUCAAACUGGAAGUGAGACACGGUCCAGACUCUUACGGGAGGAAGCAGUGGGGAAUAUUGGACAAUGGGCGAAAGCCGGAUCCAGCAAUGCCGCGGGUGUGAAGAAGGUCUUCGGAUUGUAAAGCACUUUAAGUUGGGAGGCGUUACCAACAGAAUAAGCACCGGCUAACUUCGUGCCAGCAGCCGCGGUAAUAC
rnacentral:rRNA from 1 species